ensembl:lncRNA
UAUCUUAUUAUCACCACUGGACUCUUUCCGAAAUGGAGGGAAAAGCUUUUAUUAUAAUGUGCAUUUUUAUUGCAACAGUCCACGCGCAAAGUUCAACAACUCAGUCCACAGUAGAUUCAACAACCGACACCUCUGCAACACCCACAGCUACAAUGACGUCUUCAACAACCACUACAACUCUUGCUGAAUCAUCCACUACUACUGCAGGAGUUACCACGACAGCACCACAAACUACUUUUACAACAGCUGAAUCCUCCACAACAGCUACAACAACAGCAGAUCCUUCAACAACCACUACAACUAUUGCUGAAACAUCCACUACUACUGCAGGAGUUACCACAACAGCACGACAAACUACUGUUACAACAGCUGAAUCCUCCACAACAGCUACAACAACAGCAGUUCCUUCAACAACCACUACAACUCUUGCUGAAUCAACCACUACUACUGCAGGAGUUACCACGAUACCACCACAAUCUACAGUAACAACAACUGAAUCCUCCACAACAUCAGUUCCCUCAACAAGCACUACAACUCUUACUGAAGCAUCCACUACUACUGCAGGAGUUACCACGACAGCACCACAAACUACUUUUACAACAGCUGAAUCCUCCACAACAGCUACAACAACAGCAGAUCCUUCAACAACCACUACAACUAUUGCUGAAACAUCCACUACUACUGCAGGAGUUACCACAACAGCACGACAAACUACUGUUACAACAGCUGAAUCCUCCACAACAGCUACAACAACAGCAGUUCCUUCAACAACCACUACAUUUCUUGCUGAAUCAUCCACUACUACUGCAGGAGUUACCACGACAGCACCACAAUCUACUGUUACAACAACUGAAUCCUCCACAACAGCAGUUCCCUCAACAACCACUACAACUCUUGUUGAAGUAUCCACUACUACUGCAGGAGUUAUCAUGACAGAACCACAAACUACUGUUACAACAGCAGAAUCCUCCACAACAGCUACAACAACAGCAGUUCCUUCAACAACCACUACAACUCUAACUGAAGCAUCCACUACUACUGCAGGAGUUACCACGACAGCACCACAAUCUACUGUUACAACAACUGAAUCCUCCACAACAGCAGUUCCCUCAACAACCACUACAACUCUUGCUGAAUCAUCCACCACUACUGCAGGAACAACCACAACAGCCCCACAAACUACUGUUACAACAGCAGAAUCCUCCACAACAGCUACGACAACAGCAGUGCCCCCAACAACCAUUACAACUCUUGCAGAAUCAUCCACUACUACUGUAGGAGUUACCACAACAGCACCACAAACUACUGUUGCAACAGCAGAAUCCUCCACAACAGCUACAACAACAGCAGUGCCAUCAACAACCACUACAACUCUUGCUGAAUCACCCACCACUACUGCAGGAACAACCACAACAGCCACACAAUCUACUGUUACAACAGCAGAAUCCUCCACAACCGCUACAACAACAGCAGGUGCAAGAACAACCACCACAACUCUAACUGAAGCAUCCACAACUACUGCAGGAGGUACCACGACAGCACCACAAUCUACUGUUACAACAACUGAAUCCUCCACAACAGCAGUUCCCUCAACAACCACUACAACUCUAGCUGAAUCACCCACCACCACUGCAGGAACAACCACAACAGCCCCACAAACUACUGAUACAACAGCAGAAUCCUCCACAACAUCUACAACAACAACAACAGUGCCCUCAACAACCAUUACAACUCUUGCAGAAACAUACACUACUACUGUAAAAGUUACCAAAACAGCACCACAAACUACUGUUACAACAGUUGAAUCCUCCACAACAGCAACAACAACAGCAGCAGUGCCCUCAACAACCAUUACAGCUCUUGCUGAAUCAUCCACCACUAUUGCAGGAGUUACCACAACAGCACCACAAACUACUGUUACAACAGCAGAAUCCUCCACAACAGCAACAACAACAACAGUUCCCUCAACAACAAUUACAACUCUUGAUAAAUCAUCCACUACUACUGCAGGAGUUACCACGACAGCACUACAAACUACCGUUACAACAGCAGAAUCCUCCACAACAGCAACAACAGCAGUGCCCCCAACAACCAUUACAACUCAUGCUGAAACAUCCACUACUACUGCAGGAGUUACCACGACAGCACCACAAACUACUGUUACAACACCACAAUCCUCCACAACAGCAACAACAACAGCAGUGCCUUCAACAACCAUUACAGCUCUUGCUGAAUCAUCCACUACUACUGCAGAAGUUUCGACAGCAGCACCACAAACUACUGUUACAACAGUUGAAUCCUCCUCAACAGCAACAACAACAACAGUUCCCUCAACAACAAUUACAACUCUUGAUAAAUCAUCCACUACUACUGCAGGAGUUACCACAGAAGCACUACAAACUACUGUUACAACAGCAGAAUCCUUCACAACAGCAACAACAACAACAGUCCCCUCAACAACAAUUACAACUCUUAAUAAAUCAUCCACUACUACUGCCGGAGUUCCCAAAACAGCACCACACGCUACUGUUACAACAGCUGGAUCCUCCACAACAGCUACAACAACAGCAGAGUCCUCAACAACCACUACAACUUCUGCUGAAUCAUCCACUACUACUGUAGGAGUUACCACAACAGCACAACAAACUACUGUUACAACAGUCGAAUCCUCCUCAACAGCAACAACAACAACUGUUCCCUCAACAACAAUUACAACUCUUGACAAAUCAUCCACUACAACUGCAGAAGUUACCACAGAAGCACUACAAACUACUGCUACAACAGCAGAAUCCUUAACAACCGCAACAACAACAGCAGUGCCUUCAACAACCAUUACAGCUCUUGCUGAAUCAUCCACCACAACUGCAGGAGUUUCCACAGCAGCACUACAAGCUACUGUUACAACAGCUGGAUCCUCCACAACAGCUACAACCACAGCAGUGUCCUCAACAACCACUACCACUACAACUUUUGCUGACUCAUCCACUACUACUGCAGGAGCUACCACAGAAGCACUACAAACUACUGUUACAACAGUUGAAUCCUCCACAACAGCCACAACAACAGCAGUGUCCUCAAGAACCACUACAACUUUUGCUGACUCAUGCACUGCUACUGCAGCAGCUACCAACACAGCACCAGAAGCUACUGUUACAACAGCUGGAUCCUCCACAACAGCUACAACAACAGCAGUUCCUUCAACAACCAUUACACCUCUUGCUGAGUCAUCCACACUACUGCAGGAGUUACCAACACAGCACCACAAGCUACUGGUACAACAGCUGAAUCCUCCACAACAGUAA